rnacentral:pre_miRNA from 1 species
UCACCUCCACAGGCUGGCGGGUCCCAGGCUCGGCUGAGCGAAGAUCUCUUUGAAAGGCUCACCCUCAAGCACAGGUAGC